rnacentral:rRNA from 1 species
GACGAACGCUGGCGGCGUGCCUAAUACAUGCAAGUCGAACGGUCUUUUCUAUGGAAGCUUGCUUCCACUGAGAAGAUAGUGGCGAACGGGUGAGUAACACGUGGGUAACCUGCCCAUAAGAGGGGGAUAACAUCCGGAAACGGGUGCUAAUACCGCAUAGUUUUCUUGAUCGCAUGAUUGAGAAAGGAAAGACGGCCUUUGUGCUGCCGUUUAUGGAUGGACCCGCGGCGUAUUAGUUAGUUGGUGAGGUAACGGCUCACCAAGACGAUGAUACGUAGCCGACCUGAGAGGGUGAUCGGCCACAUUGGGACUGAGACACGGCCCAAACUCCUACGGGAGGCAGCAGUAGGGAAUCUUCCGCAAUGGACGAAAGUCUGACGGAGCAACGCCGCGUGAGUGAAGAAGGUUUUCGGAUCGUAAAACUCUGUUGUCAGAGAAGAACAAGUUGGAGAGUAACUGCUCCAGCCUUGACGGUAUCUGACCAGAAAGCCACGGCUAACUACGUGCCAGCCGCCGCAGUAA